rnacentral:rRNA from 1 species
GUGAGGAAUAUUGGACAAUGGGGGGAACCCUGAUCCAGCCAUGCCGCGUGUGUGAAGAAGGCCUUUUGGUUGUAAAGCACUUUAAGCGAGGAGGAGGCUACCGAGAUUAAUACUCUUGGAUAGUGGACGUUACUCGCAGAAUAAGCACCGGCUAACUCUGUGCCAGCAGCCGCGGUAAUACAGAGGGUGCAAGCGUUAAUCGGAUUUACUGGGCGUAAAGCGCGCGUAGGUGGCCAAUUAAGUCAAAUGUGAAAUCCCCGAGCUUAACUUGGGAAUUGCAUUCGAUACUGGUUGGCUAGAGUAUGGGAGAGGAUGGUAGAAUUCCAGGUGUAGCGGUGAAAUGCGUAGAGAUCUGGAGGAAUACCGAUGGCGAAGGCAGCCAUCUGGCCUAAUACUGACACUGAGGUGCGAAAGCAUGGGGAGCAAACAGGAUUAGAAACCCCUGUAGUCC